rnacentral:rRNA from 1 species
UACGUAGGGGGCUAGCGUUGUCCGGAAUCAUUGGGCGUAAAGCGCGUGUAGGCGGCCCGGUAAGUCCGCUGUGAAAGUCGGGGGCUCAACCCUCGGAUGCCGGUGGAUACUGUCGGGCUCGAGUACGGAAGAGGCGAGUGGAAUUCCUGGUGUAGCGGUGAAAUGCGUAGAUAUCGGGAGGAACACCAGUGGCGAAGGCGGGCAUCUGGGCCAACACUGACGCUGAGGCGCGAAAGCUAGGGGAGUAAACAGG